AUGCUUAAUGCUAUCAUGCUGGCUAGCAAUGGCUACGUGUGUGUGUUUAUGCUGCUUGGGGGCUGGUCGUCGCAUAUGAUACGUGUAUUGAACAUUAUCAAAAUGAAUAUGAGAAUGGGCGCACGAGAGGAAUAUUGUGGAACAAUCCACUGGCUAACGAACUUGGCAUGGUGGAGGAUGGCCUAUCUUAUUCACCCAUCAAGAAGCUUGCUUUAUCUUGGCAAGAUCCUCAAGGAGUACAAACUAGGUAUUUGGAAAAAGGUAGUGAUACAUGUUAAAUCAGAUAGAUCAGCAGCCACAGAAAACACAGUCCCAACUGUACCACACUUCACCCCUAUUCCACUGGCCAAACCCCUAUUAGAACUGCUAAGAGCCCAGCGUCAGAUGAAUCUCCUUGCUCAAAGGAUCAUAGGAUCUCACAACAAUACUGGACACUUCAUUGCUCUUAAUAAUGGCAACGCUUAUAACGAAGUUUCUUUGAGGAAUGUAUUGAAUUAUCCUUCCAUCAACAUGGAGAAGGGCUUUGUCCAGCCCGUGUUAACAUAUAAUAGUCGUAUCUUUUAUGCCUGGCAGAACUUUGGGGAAGAUAGUGAGCCAAACCAUCUUGAUGAGAGCGAGAUGACCCCAAGGUCUUGUCUUGAUGAAGACAGUGAGUUGAAGCUACUCACCAGCAGCUAUGAGACAACCUCUGUACAGUCACCACCUCAAUCAGUUCAACUUCUUCUGUCUCAACUUAAAGCGGAAAGGCUUGCUUUAACUCAACUCUGA
rnacentral:rRNA from 1 species